UGCCUGGCAAUGGGCAAAGAGAAACCUGAUUGGUGGUGUUGCUCUUAUAUCAGUCAGAAGCAAAGCAAACACACUCCUUAGUUCAGCCUAAUUUGAUGCCUGUGUUGGUGGCCAGAGUUGUUUUAUGCCCGGGAAACAUUA
rfam:Myotis davidii contig114932, whole genome shotgun sequence.